rnacentral:RNase_P_RNA from 1 species
GAUGGCCGGACGGCCGCGGGGGUGCAUGCCUUCGAGGAAAGUCCGGACUCCAUGAAGCAAGGGUGCCGGGUAACGCCCGGCCGGGGUAACCCGAGGGAAAGCGCCACAGAGAAGAGACAGCCCCGGCUUCGUCAACAGGAGGUUCGCCUCCGGCGAAUGCGGGGUGAUGGUGAAACGGUGGGGCAAGAGCCCACCGCGGGACUGGCAACAGGACCGGCACGGCAAGCCCCACCCGGAGCAAUGCCGAAUAGGGGCCUCGCGCGGAAAGGUCCGGCCAAUGGCCCGCAAGGCCGGUCGGAGACCUCCGCAGGGACGCUUCAGCCCAGAGGCCCGGGUUGGCAGCUAAAGCCCGCCGGCAACGGCGGGACGAGAGGAAUGGCCGUCCAGGGGGCAACCCCGGACAGAAUCCGGCUUACAGGCCAUCC